AAUAAACCAAUCUUUCACUUUUACCUAUAACGUUUGACUCUGUCUUAUUCAAAAAUUUUACGAUUAACAUUUUUGUUUUUAUUAGAUGAUAAAUCAUAAAUAGUACUUUACGUGUGACUAUUUUUUUUAACUUUUUAAAAAAUUUAAAUAAGACGAUGGUCAAACAUCAGACACGGAAAAAAAAGAUUG
rnacentral:pre_miRNA from 1 species